rnacentral:misc_RNA from 1 species
UGAGAAGGAACAGAACAAGCACGCUAUAGUGGUGGCAGCAGCCACAGCUGCUGCAGCUGAUGCGGCAGUUGCUGCAGCCCAGGCAGCGGUGGCGGUGGUGAGGCUAACUAGCCAUGGCAGAGGUACCAUGUUUGGUGGUGGACGGGAGAGGUGGGCUGCUGUCAAGAUUCAAACUGUUUUCAGGGGUUAUUUGGCCAGAAAGGCAUUGCGAGCAUUAAAAGGAUUGGUGA